ACCAGCUGACUCAGAUCAUGAAAGUAACUGGAGUACCUGGACCAGAAUUUAUCCAGAAGCUAGACAGUCCAGAGGCAAAGACGUACGUG